AACCCUGCAUCCAACUGUUUUUUGCACUUCUUCUUUUAUCUUGACAGUCAUCUCUGGUCUUGUUCUUCUGAGCUUCUGCUUGACCGGAGGACAAUCCUCUUUGAGAGGCAAACGGUGUACCACAAUGUCUGUGUCAAGCCCGGGCAUGUCCUGAUAAGACCAGGCGAAGAUAUCAACAUACUCUUGCAGCAAUUCAAUCAACCCCUUCUUUACAUCGUCUUCC
rnacentral:lncRNA from 1 species